GAUGAACGCUGGCGGCGUGCCUAAUACAUGCAAGUCGAGCGAACGGACGAGAAGCUUGCUUCUCUGAUGUUAGCGGCGGACGGGUGAGUAACACGUGGAUAACCUACCUAUAAGACUGGGAUAACUUCGGGAAACCGGAGCUAAUACCGGAUAAUAUUUUGAACCGCAUGGUUCAAAAGUGAAAGACGGUCUUGCUGUCACUUAUAGAUGGAUCCGCGCUGCAUUAGCUAGUUGGUAAGGUAACGGCUUACCAAGGCAACGAUGCAUAGCCGACCUGAGAGGGUGAUCGGCCACACUGGAACUGAGACACGGUCCAGACUCCUACGGGAGGCAGCGGUAGGGAAUCUGCCGCAAUGGGCGAAAGCCUGACGGAGCAACGCCGCGUGAGUGAUGAAGGUCUUCGGAUCGUAAAACUCUGUUAUUAGGGAAGAACAUAUGUGUAAGUAACUGUGCACAUCUUGACGGUACCUAAUCAGAAAGCCACGGCUAACUACGU
rnacentral:rRNA from 1 species